rnacentral:rRNA from 1 species
GCUUAACACAUGCAAGUCGAGGGGAAACGACAUCGAAAGCUUGCUUUUGAUGGGCGUCGACCGGCGCACGGGUGAGUAACGCGUAUCCAACCUGCCCACCACUUGGGGAUAACCUUGCGAAAGUAAGACUAAUACCCAAUGACGUCUCUAGAAGACAUCUGAAAGAGAUUAAAGAUUUAUCGGUGAUGGAUGGGGAUGCGUCUGAUUAGCUUGUUGGCGGGGUAACGGCCCACCAAGGCAACGAUCAGUAGGGGUUCUGAGAGGAAGGUCCCCCACAUUGGAACUGAGACACGGUCCAAACUCCUACGGGAGGCAGCAGUGAGGAAUAUUGGUCAAUGGACGAGAGUCUGAACCAGCCAAGUAGCGUGCAGGAUGACGGCCCUAUGGGUUGUAAACUGCUUUUAUAAGGGAAUAAAGUGAGUCUCGUGAGACUUUUUGCAUGUACCUUAUGAAUAAGGACCGGCUAAUUCCGUGCCAGCAGCCGCGGUAAUACGGAAGGUCCGGGCGUUAUCCGGAUUUAUUGGGUUUAAAGGGAGCGUAGGCCGGAGAUUAAGUGUGUUGUGAAAUGUAGAUGCUCAACAUCUGAACUGCAGCGCGAACUGGUUUCCUUGAGUACGCACAAAGUGGGCGGAAUUCGUGGUGUAGCGGUGAAAUGCUUAGAUAUCACGAAGAACUCCGAUUGCGAAGGCAGCUCACUGGAGCGCAACUGACUCUGAAGCUCGAAAGUGCGGGUAUCGAACAGGAUUAGAUCCCCUGGUAGUCCGCCCGGUAAACAAUGGAUGCCCGCUGUUGGUUUGAAUAGGUCAGCGGCCAAGCGAAAG